rnacentral:rRNA from 1 species
AGAGCGAACGCUGGCGGCAGGCUUAACACGUGCAAGUCGAGCGGGCGUAGCAAUACGUCAGCGGCAGACGGGUGAGUAACGCGUGGGAACGUACCUUUUGGUUCGGAACAACACAGGGAAACUUGUGCCAAUACCGGAUAAGCCCUUACGGGGAAAGAUUUAUCGCCGAAAGAUCGGCCCGCGUCUGAUUAGCUAGUUGGUGAGGUAACGGCUCACCAAGGCGACGAUCAGUAGCUGGUCUGAGAGGAUGAUCAGCCACAUUGGGACUGAGACACGGCCCAAACUCCUACGGGAGGCAGCAGUGGGGAAUAUUGGACAAUGGGCGAAAGCCUGAUCCAGCCAUGCCGCGUGAGUGAUGAAGGCCCUAGGGUUGUAAAGCUCUUUUGUGCGGGAAGAUAAUGACGGUACCGCAAGAAUAAGCCCCGGCUAACUUCGCGCCAGCAGCCGC